rnacentral:rRNA from 1 species
CCUACGGGAGGCAGCAGUGAGGAAUAUUGGUCAAUGGGCGCGAGCCUGAACCAGCCAAGUAGCGUGAAGGAUGACUGCCCUACGGGUUGUAAACUUCUUUUAUAAAGGAAUAAAGUGAGGCACGCGUGCCUUUUUGUAUGUACUUUAUGAAUAAGGAUCGGCUAACUCCGUGCCAGCAGCCGCGGUAAUACGGAGGAUCCGAGCGUUAUCCGGAUUUAUUGGGUUUAAAGGGAGCGUAGAUGGGUUGUUAAGUCAGUUGUGAAAGUUUGCGGCUCAACCGUAAAAUUGCAAUUGAUACUGGCAGCCUUGAGUACAGGUGAGGUAGGCGGAAUGCGUGGUGUAGCGGUGAAAUGCUUAGAUAUCACGAAGAACUCCGAUUGCGAAGGCAGCUUACUAAACUGCCACUGACGCUGAUGCACGAAAGCGUGGGUAUCAAACAGGAUUAGAUACCCUAGUAGUC